AUUGCUAUACCACGUUUGAAACACCGAUUCUCGUCCGGUCACUGAAGUUAAGCAACGUUGGGUCCGUUUAGUACUUGCUAACAACGACGUUCCGCAAGGAUCAAUCUUAGGACUCCUGUUAUUCAUUCU